rnacentral:rRNA from 1 species
AAGGGGCAGUAAAGCGUGGGUAACCUACCCCGGGGACGGGAAUAGCCAUUCUAACGAGUGGGUAAUGCCCGGCGAUUUGACGGAACCGCAUGGCUCUGUCAGGAAAUGAAUUUCGCCUCGUGAGGGGCUCACGCAGUAUUAGCUUGUUGGUGAGGUAACGGCUCACCAAGGCCGAGAUGCUUAGCGGGUAUGAGAGUACGACCCGCGCCACUGGCACUGAGACACUGGCCAGACUCCUACGGGAGGCUGCGGUCGAGGAUCUUCGGCAAUGGGCGCAAGCCUGACCGAGCGACGCCGCGUGCGCGAUGAAGGCCUUCGGGUUGUAAAGCGCUGUCGAGGGGGAGGAAAGCCCGUAAGGGUCUGACCUAUCCCUGGAGGAAGCACGGGCUAAGUUCGUGCCAGCAGCCGCGGUAAGACGAACCGUGCGAACGUUGUUCGGAAUCACUGGGCUUAAAGGGCGCGUAGGCGGCUUAUCAAGCCAGGGGUGAAAUCUUUCGGCUUAACCGGAAAAGUGCCUUUGAUACUGGUAAGCUUGAGCGAGGCAGGGGCCUGUGGAACUUCCGGUGGAGCGGU